UGCUUACACAUACAAGUUUUCAUUACCUAUCUUGUCACCAAAUACGUGCAAAACUCAUAUUUCGUAACUACAAGAAAACGUGAUUAAGACCCACUGGUUCAAGAAAUAUAAUUUAGACAUUCGUUGUACACUGAUAUAACGGAAUAAAGAUAAAACAGUUUGAGUAAACUGAAUAGUCAAGAAAAGCACAUAAUAACAAUAAAUUGAAGUAUACGAAGUAACGG
rnacentral:lncRNA from 1 species